rnacentral:rRNA from 1 species
GACGAACGCUGGCGGCGUGCUUAACACAUGCAAGUCGAACGGAAAGGCCCUGCUUUUGUGUGGUGCUCGAGUGGCGAACGGGUGUGUAACACGUGAGUAACCUGCCCUUGACUGUGGGAUAACUUCAGGAAACUGGGGCUAAUACCGGCUAGGAGCUCCUGCUGCAUGGUGGGGGUUGGAAAGUUUCGGCGGGUGGGGAUGGACUCGCGGCUUAUCAGCUUGUUGGUGGGGUAGUGGCUUACCAAGGCUUUGACGGAUAGCCGGCCUGAGAGGGUGGACAGCGACAUUGGGACUGAGAUACGGCGCAGACUCCUACAGGGGGCAGCAGUGGGGAGUAUUGCACAGCGAGCGGACGCCUGAUGAGGCAGCGUCGCGAUCGGAAAGACGGCUUUCGGGUUGUAAACCGCUUUCGCCUGUGACGAAGCGUGAGUGACGGUAAUGGGUAAAGAAGCACCGGCUAACUACGUG